UGCGAUCAUACCAGCACUAAUGCACCGGAUUCCAUCAGAACUCCACAGUUAAGCGUGCUUGGGCGAGAGUAGUACUAGGAUGGGUGACUCCUGGGAAGUCCUCUUGUUGCACU
rnacentral:rRNA from 1 species